GCGGCAGCUGCUGCUGACCAACCGGGACCUGCUGCAGCACGUCUCGCUGCUGGUGAGGCAGCUCAAGGAGCUGGAGGUGAAGGCGCAGCGCCGGCAGCCAGUUGACCGCUCCUUGCAGAACCUGUCCCUGGCCCAGUCGCUGUCUCUGAACCUGAAGAACCACUACAGCCUGGACAUCAACCUGCCGUCCACCUCCACCCCGGCCAGCAUCCUGGGCAGCCCCGUGGCCCCCGGCUCGCUCUCGGCCCUGGGCUCGGGGGAUUCCUACCUCAACCUCUUGAACCUGGAGAGGGGCGGCCCCUGCUACGACGGCAAGGAGGGGGACGAGUGCUUGGCCAUGCUGGAGGGGCAGGACGGGUUCAGCAGGCGCGUGGAGGGCUCCGAGGUCAGCGAGUUUGCUCUGCUCAACGGGAGCAGCCGGCAAAAGGCAGACGACGCCGAAAGCAGGGUGGAUGAGGACAGGCGGCAGCAGCCCAUUCCCAAGAUCAACCCCCCGCCACCCAUCCUACGCAAAAGGUCAAGCAAGACCUCCCCGAGCCUGGAGGUGGAAGCCAAGCCCGAGACCGCCAUCCACGUGAGCCUUCCCAGCCCCAGCUUGUCCAGCCUCACCAACAUCACUGCCAGCUCGCUCACCCUCUUGGACCCCGAGGCGAGGACUCCCGCCCAGAGCGCUGCCUCCAGCAUGGAGCUCGUCCCUGCUGGGACCUCCCAGCGCGCUCUCGGCAAGGACAGGACUGGAGAGAACGGACACAUGUCCCCCCUGUCCAGCAUCCAUGACGCUGCAACGGGUGAGGCCCUGGGCAAGGACCUAGCUGCCCUGGCCAGCCCCAUGGACAGCGCGCUGCCGUUUUCCCUGGCGGACGACACCUGCUUGCACAUCAGCUUCUCGGAAGAUGAGCUGCUUGAACCGGAGCUAGAUGCUGCUCUGGGACCCAGCAGGGUCCCCACUUAGCUGGACCACAGUCCUCGGCAGCUGGCAGGCAGCCCCAGCAGCUCCGUCCACCUCGCGCCACCAGCCUGCGCGGGGUCGGG
rnacentral:lncRNA from 1 species